rnacentral:rRNA from 1 species
AACGAACGCUGGCGGCAGGCUUAACACAUGCAAGUCGAACGGCUGUAGCAAUACAGCAGUGGCAGACGGGUGAGUAACACGUGGGAACCUUCCUAGGGGUACGGAACAACUCAGGGAAACUUGAGCUAAUACCGUAUACGUCCGUAAGGAGAAAGAUUCAUCGCCCCUAGACGGGCCCGCGUCGGAUUAGGUAGUUGGUGGGGUAACGGCCUACCAAGCCUGCGAUCCGUAGCUGAUCUGAGAGGAUGAUCAGCCACACUGGGACUGAGACACGGCCCAGACUCCUACGGGAGGCAGCAGUGGGGAAUCUUGGACAAUGGGCGCAAGCCUGAUCCAGCCAUGCCGCGUGAGUGAAGAAGGCCUUAGGGUUGUAAAGCUCUUUUACCAGGGACGAUAAUGACGGUACCUGGAGAAUAAG